rnacentral:lncRNA from 1 species
AUGGAUGGAUGGAUGGAAACACCCUCUAAACUGCUGUUUUUGUCCAAACCGAAGCCUUCAGACAGAAAACAAGAAGAGAAGCGCGAGAUGAAAGAGCGCAAAGAACAAGAGAAGCGUGAGAAGAAAGAGCGCCAAGAACGAGAGAAGCGUGAGAAAAAAGAGCGCCAAGAACGAGAGAAGCGUGAGAAAAAAGAGUGCCAAGAACGAGAGAAGCGCGAGAAGAACGAGCGCCAAGAACGAGAGAAGCGCGAGAAAAAAGAGCACCAAGAACGAGAGAAGCGCGAGAAAAAAGAGCGCCAAGAACGAGAGAAGCGCGAGAAGAAAGUACAAACGGUGAAGCAGUUUAUUGUGGAAUCAGACGGCUUGAUCACUGGACUGGAAAAGGUCAACGGGACCGUCCUCACAAAAGAAAGUGAAAAUCUCAGAAAGGCUGCCGAAGAACAGUGUUCUUCCAAGUGUGAGGAGCUGGCCAACGAGGCCUGCACUCUGAGGAGUGACCUACAGAAGGCCAACAAGACCAUCCAGGAAAAAGACAGUAUGAUAAACCAACUGUCAGAGGACAGGUCCUCCUUCAAAGAUCAGCUGAAACAUGAGCAGGAAUCAAGAGAAAGCAUUGAGAAACACCUUGAUGAGCUUGAGAAACAUAACAGCGAAAUUCAAUCAGAGGUGGUUUGUAAGGAGUAUGUCAUUGCUGACCUGUUUGCUGAAAACAAUCAUGUCUGCAACGAACUGGCCAAGAGCAAGGCCAAGUUCAGACAGUUGACAGAGCUGGAAUUUGAGCAAACACGGAAAAGAUUACACCAGUCUCUGGCUCUGCAGCAAAAAGCGACUCUAGAGUUAAGGAUAAAGUAUGAAAAGCUCAGAAAAGAAAAUGAAAACCUCAGAAAGGCCGCCGAAGAACCUACCCAGUGUUCUUCCAAGGAGCUGGCCAACGAGGUCUGCACUCUAAGGAGUGACCUACAGAAGGCCAACAAGACAGGAAAAAGACGGUAUGAUAAACCAAAUGGAACCACCAAAGAAAGAAUGUGUCGCAGAAACACCAGAACAGAUCAAGGCCAAGGUCACACAGUUGGAAGACAGAGAGCAGGAAAUCCUCCUUGCUCCAAGAUGGAAAAAAUUACAGAACCCACCAAAGAAAGAAUGUGUUGCAGAGACACCAGAAAACAAAUGGGACAGGCUGUUCUGCAUACACAACCAGGGCUACCUAGACCAGGACAACCUACACGGCCAGGAAUAUGCAGACUACCAGAACAGCUGGGACUACUAAAGCAGUGA